rnacentral:rRNA from 1 species
CCUACGGGGGGCUGCAGUGGGGAAUAUUGGACAAUGAGGGCAACCCUGAUCCAGCCAUGCCGCGUGUGUGAAGAAGGCCCUCGGGUUGUAAAGCACUUUCAGUGAGGAAGAACGCCUGGUGGUUAAUACCCAUCAGGAAAGACAUCACUCACAGAAGAAGCACCGGCUAACUCCGUGCCAGCAGCCGCGGUAAUACGGAGGGUGCGAGCGUUAAUCGGAAUUACUGGGCGUAAAGCGCGCGUAGGUGGCUUGAUAAGCCGGUUGUGAAAGCCCCGGGCUCAACCUGGGAACGGCAUCCGGAACUGUCAAGCUAGAGUGCAGGAGAGGAAGGUAGAAUUCCCGGUGUAGCGGUGAAAUGCGUAGAGAUCGGGAGGAAUACCAGUGGCGAAGGCGGCCUUCUGGACUGACACUGACACUGAGGUGCGAAAGCGUGGGUAGCAAACAGGAUUAGAUACCCCGGUAGUC